rnacentral:sRNA from 1 species
UUUUAGCCCAGAUGAUAGUGGAAAGCCCAGAACUUAUAAAACAUCAUUUUCUUGACAGAAAAGAGCGACCAGUGGAAGCUCCUUUUAUGGCUUAGAAAAUAAGUUUUAUAAGUGAGGACUUGCAACGAACAGCUGGAAAUAGC